ACCACCGCCGUCUACUCUUGGCCAGCCUUCUGAAAGGAAGAUUAAUCCAGGAUGGCAUCAUGAGUUCACAUGUCCGCAUGAUUAAAGGUAUUUUCCGGUAGACGAUGGGGAUGCGUUCCAUUAGAUAGUAGGCGGGGUAACGGCCCACCUAGUCAACGAUGGAUAGGGGUUCUGAGAGGAAGGUCCCCCACAUUGGAACUGAGACACGGUCCAA
rnacentral:rRNA from 1 species